UAGGGCCCCUGGGCGGGUGGUGUGCGGCGCUCGCCGCCCCUCGCGCGGUCCUCCACCCCCACUCCACCACCAGAGGUAGUAGCUGAGUCACUCACUGAGGGGCCGCCGGCGCGGCCACUCGCGGUCCCUAACAGACACUAAGGUCUCGGGCGCCCCCCAGAGGCUCUCUUUCCUCCGCUGACAUCUUUAUGGUCUCGGGACCAUGGUCCCCGCCAGUCCUAAAGACUCCCACUGCGCCCUGACUCUGCCCUACCCUGUUUCUACUCCGUCUACUGGAUCCAUUUUAUUCCAGUCCUCUCCUCCACCUCCCCACGAUCUCCUCACUAGGGUUGCAAUGAGUUUCCAAGAAUGAAAACGGAAAAUUCUUCCCCACAUGGCAUAGACCCUUCCUAUCAACGCAUACCUCCAGAACUGUAACUCUUCCAGGAAGCCCAGACUCUUUCUACAAAGCUUCCGAGAACCCUGGGCUCCUCCACUCUUCUUCCCUGGUCUCCCUACGACCGGAGUUCUAAAUGCUGGUUUAGCCCCUCGUCUGGUGCAGCUUCCUCUCCUGUACUUCCAGCCCUAAGGUGACGACACUGCAGUGGCCAUACGGGGUAUAACGCCGCCGAGGGUCAUCUUGUGACGCCACAAAGCCGUCGGGUUCAGGAACCGAGGAGUGGGAGUGGGGGCUACCGGGCGAGCACCUCUG